rnacentral:rRNA from 1 species
UGGGGAAUUUUGCGCAAUGGGCGAAAGCCUGACGCAGCAACGCCGCGUGAGUGAUGAAGGCCUUCGGGUCGUAAAGCUCUGUCGGGAGGGAAGAAAUGGUUGUGUGCUAAUACCGCAUGAUCUUGACGGUACCUCCGAAGGAAGCACCGGCUAACUCCGUGCCAGCAGCCGCGGUAAUACGGAGGGUGCAAGCGUUGUUCGGAAUUAUUGGGCGUAAAGCGCGUGUAGGCGGUUUUUUAAGUCUGAUGUGAAAGCCCCGGGCUCAACCUGGGAAGUGCAUUGGAAACUGGGAAACUUGAGUACGGGAGAGGGUAGUGGAAUUCCUAGUGUAGGAGUGAAAUCCGUAGAUAUUAGGAGGAACACCGGUGGCGAAGGCGGCUACCUGGACCAGUACUGACGCUGAGACGCGAAAGCGUGGGGAGCAAACAGG